CCGAACUAAAAGUUAACUUUCCACUAGUACACUUUCAUAACCCUGAUAUUGUCAUACAGUACCGGCAAUGAACACAUUCCAAUACUGGAGAUCCAAAGCAGCUGCCUUCCUUAUCUGGUGUGUCCUACAUCCUCAGCAAGUGUCAUCAUGGUGCAAGUAGAGGACAUGCUGGACGAGCGCUCGUAAACACUGUUGUUGUUAUCCCACAUUCCUGACACAAACAGUGUUUGUGGAUCUGCCGACCAUCCAAAAGCCUUGGCUAGCGACGGACACAGGGCCAGUAUUAGCUGUUGAAAGACCAGGUGGAAUUUCCUACGGAAGCUGCGGUUUAUCCAAAAGUAGAAGAUGCAGUUGAGAAAACCAUUGGAGGUGGGCAGCCAUACCACAACAAACUCUAGCCACUCUGGUACGCUGUUACCCGAGACGGCUAUGGAUGGAAGGAAACAACAGUGUCAACUCAUAAUUUGGCCUCCCACAGACAAUUGGUUGGAACAGGUGCAUCAGAGCAGCCCUCAUAUGUCUGGCUAGCCAAUGAGCCCAUUACAUCCCAACAAUAAACUAGCAGGCAACAGGACAUGAUAAAUGAUUGCAUUUAUAAUAACAAAACUGUCAGUUUGAAAAGUAACAUUUAAAAACAGUUUUGGAUUCAUUAAAAAACAUGAAAUAGAC